CCUACGGGUGGCUGCAGUGAGGAAUAUUGGUCAAUGGGCGAGAGCCUGAACCAGCCAAGUCGCGUGAGGGAAGACGGUCCUAUGGAUUGUAAACCUCUUUUGUCGGGGAGCAAAAAGGCCUCGUGAGGCCACAAGUGAGAGUACCCGAAGAAAAAGCAUCGGCUAACUCCGUGCCAGCAGCCGCGGUAAUACGGAGGAUGCGAGCGUUAUCCGGAUUUAUUGGGGUUACAGGUUGCGCAGGAGGAGGUGCAAGUCAGCGGGCAAAUUGCGUGGCCCAACCCCGUACUGCCGUUGAAACGGCAUCCCUUUAGUGCGCGAGAAGUAUGCGGAAUGCGUGGUGUAGCGGUGAAAUGCAUAGAUAUCACGCAGAACUCCGAUUGCGAAGGCAGCAUACCGGCGCGCAACUGACGCUCAUGCACGAAAGCGUGGGUAUCGAACAGGAUUAGAUACCCUUGUAGUC
rnacentral:rRNA from 1 species